rnacentral:rRNA from 1 species
UGUGAGUGAUGAAGGUUUUCGGAUCGUAAAGCUCUGUCGGGUGGAAAGAAUAAAGGCUGUGUAAAUAAUGCAGCCUGAUGACGGUACCACCAAAGGAAGCACCGGCUAACUCCGUGCCAGCAGCCGCGGUAAUACGGAGGGUGCAAGCGUUGUUCGGAAUUAUUGGGCGUAAAGGGCGUGUAGGCGGGUAUGCAGGUCAGAUGUGAAAUCCCUCGGCUCAACCGAGGAAGUGCAUUUGAAACCGUAUAUCUUGAGUACGAGAGAGGCAGAUGGAAUUCCCAGUGUAGAGGUGAAAUUCAUAGAUAUUGGGAAGAACACCGGUGGCGAAAGCGGUCUGCUGGCUCGGUACUGACGCUGAGACGCGAAAGCGUGGGGAGCAAACAGGAUUAGAUACCCUGGUAGUCCACGCCGUAAACGAUGUGCACUAGGUGUUGGGGGUAAUUAAACCUUCAGUGCCGCAGCUAACGCAUUAA